rnacentral:lncRNA from 1 species
GUCCACGCCUGUUCCCUUCGUCGCCGCGGCUCUCGUCCGGGACACGGCUUUCCGGAGUAGAGCCCUUGGAGGUGUUAAGUGUGAUGCUUCCAUAAUACAUUUGGAUGCUGUCAGCUAAGUUCACUUCUGAACUAAGGGGUUCCUCCAAAUGUUGGCUGAAAUUCAUCCCAAGGCUGGUCUGCAAAGUCUGCAAUUCAUAAUGGAGCUACUGUACUGGCUAUUGGAAGGAGGAGAUUCUGAAGAUAAGGAGGUAAAACCUGUUUAGAAAUUAAAAAUGAGUUACGAUUUAAAGAAAAUUCAGAUGACUCAUUGUGAGUGCUAGUUCUCUUGUAGGAUGCCACUGGAAAUGUUGAAAUGAAAAAUAUUCAGCCGUUGGUCUUUGAAAUUUCCUGUGAUGUGUUUCAAUCUAGAUGCAAAGAACAUGGAAAAAUCAAAGUGCUCGAGUGGUUUAAAUAUGUUUUGGGUAUUCCUGUUUAUAGACUAUAAUACUUUUCCAAUUAAAAUCCUCAGUUGUCACGCAGAAGAAGGUUAAGCUGUAUUUGAUUGCCAGUUUUACUGAAAAUGCUUAGUAUUUUACAGUAUCACCAAAUAUAUUUUGUUUAGCCAAGGUAUAGGAAAAAUAAAAUAAAUUGUAUAGGUUGACUUUUUUCUAAAAUGUCUUUAUUGGAUUGAAUGAAUGUUUAUACCUGAAAAAAAAAGGUUCAAAAAA